GCCCUAAUACCGGUCCUAAUCAAUGGAUCGCUUGGGCUAUUAACCGACAACGUCUCAACAUGUUUGGCUCUCAAGCUCUUGUAGCUUACAGAAAUUCCUCUGGAAUCGCUCAUGCUUACACUUCCGAUGUAAAUUCCCCUACUCCAACCCUGCAAGAAAGCAGCAUAAGCUUUCAAGUUCCUCAACUCAGAGCCACUUAUGUCAAUCAAGAAAUGACCAUUUUUGCUACCAUUAUUCUUGGAGAUAAUGAGACCACAAUUAAUCAAGUAUGGCAAGAAGGCCCUUUGGCUGGAGGUUCUCCGGCUUCUCAUGCCAUUACAGAUGCCAACAGAGCUUCAAGAACUACCCUCGAUUUGCUUACUGGAUCAAGCACAGCAGCUGCGGAUGACGUUCUAAAGAAGAGAAACGUAAGUGUUUGAUUAGGAUUUUUUUUUUCUUUUUCUGAUCUGGGUCAGUUUGAUUGUUCUUAUUUGUGAAACCCUUUUGAGGAUUUCGUGAAAUUUCAUCGUCUGAUUGAAGGGUUUUGAUUUUUCAGACUCAUGGAGUUUUGAACGCUGUUAGUUGGGGAACUAUGAUGCCUAUGGGAGCAAUUUUCGCUAGAUAUUUGAAAGUUUUCAAAGGAGCAGAUCCAGCUUGGUUUUACCUUCACGUUGGUUGUCAAGCCUCCGCCUACGCCGUCGGUGUCGCCGGUUGGGCCACCGGUAUAAAACUCGGCAGCGAUUCCCUCGGUAUUGAAUACAACACUCAUCGCAACAUCGGAAUCACCCUCUUCGUCUUCGGAACUCUUCAGGUAAUGAUAAAAAAAAGCACACACACACAAAAACCCUACAACUAAAACAUCAAAAAUCAAAAAGUUCAAAAAAUUGUUGAAAUCUUCAUUAAUUGUGAUUUGGGGUUUUUCCAUUUUAGGUUUUCGCUCUGCUUCUGAGGCCAAACAAGGAUCAUAAAUACAGAAUUUAUUGGAAUAUCUACCAUCACUCUAUCGGAUACAGUGUGAUUGUUCUUAGCAUCAUCAACGUCUUUAAAGGAUUAGAUAUCUUGAACCCAGAUGGAAAAUGGAAACGAGCUUACACCGGAAUCCUCAUCUUCUUGGGCGCCGUCGCCGUCGUUCUUGAAGUCAUUACAUGGAUCAUUUGCAUAAAGAGAAAGCGAU
rnacentral:lncRNA from 1 species